ensembl:lncRNA
CAUGGUUACAAGGUUAUUUCUGCGUGGUUACGAGGUUAUUUCUGCGUGGUUACGAGGUUAUUUCUGCAUGGUCACAAGGUUAUUUCUGCGUGGUUACGAGGUUAUUUCUGCAUGGUUACAAGGUUAUUUCUGCGCGGUUACGAGGUUAUUUCUGCAUGGUUACAAGGUUAUUUCUGCAUGGUUACGAGGUUAUUUCUGCGUGGUUCCGAGGUUAUUUCUGCAUGGUUACAAGGUUAUUUCUGUGUGGUUACGAGGUUAUUUCUGUGCGGUUGCAGGGUUAAAACUAAAAAACCUCAACGGUUAACAGUUUAGGCGUUAAUUCCGAGUGGCUAGGAUCAGGGCUAUGGUUUGGAAGGCUUCAAUUACAAACAAAGCAUAAUUACCAAGUAUCAUCAAGUAUGAUAGAGCAAUGUGAACUGCGGUGGUGCAGUGGUCUAAGUAGCAUGUUCUGACACCAAGCACCAAGGCAGACAUAUAUUGAUGUUCUGGGGACCUUGAUCUAG